AUUACUUCCUCCUUUUCUCUCUUCUGCAACCUUUUGUUGUUCUUCUUCAAUCUUCUUCAACCUUCUGAUCUUCUUCCUCAAUCUUGUUAUGUGUCUUGAGUAUGAGUUCUGAUGAGAAUGAGAGACUGAGAGAGUAAUGAUUGGUCUAGCUCGUGCACGUUGAAGCUUCAAGGUGAAGCUUCAAUGGCUUCAGAAGUGGAGCUCUAAGUGAAAGUGGAAGAGAGAGGAUGCAGAGAAGAAUGAGAGUGAGAGAGUAAUGAUUGGAUGGAAAAUGAUGAUCUCCCUAAAUGAUUGAUGAAAGCUGACUUAUAUAGAUUGUCAACUUAACAGAGUUGGCAUUAUGUUGGGAUUUUAAGUCCAAUUUGGUUAGAGAUCCAAUCUCUGUUAAAUGCUUUUGUUUAAGUUUGUUAUUGAGUUCAUGUUAUUUUCUGUUAGUAAGUUCAAUAUGUGUAAAGUUGUUAGAUGCUUGUUAACAUUGUGAAUUAACAGUUAGGUUGUCAAUUAGAAGAGUUAAUUUGUUAGAAAACUAUGUUAUCAUUUGGUUAGUUGGUUAGGUUGGUUUUGAUUCAGUUGGAAAAGUGGUUAUACAGCUGGAUAGUAAACGUUGGUUAGUUAUUAGUUUUGAUUUGCUAAUAUGCUUGUUAAUUCGGUGUUAAAAUGUUGAUAAUGCAAUUAGUUGAUUCAAUUAGUGUAAUGUAAUUCAAGUGCCAAUAUUUAAUUUUUUGUUGUGAACUAAUCUCUUCUUUUGAAUACAAUAGUUAACUCUAAAUUUCCAUAAUUAUUCUUAAUCAACUUGUCUAGCUACUGAUAUCAAUGCCAAAUGCUGCUAGUGAAUUUCAGUUAGGCCCCUAAUGCAUUUUGUUGCUACUUAUUGGUUUGUGAAUGAAUACAGGUGGCAGUCUGUUGAAAAACUAGGGAUUGUAUGUGGUACUGCUUUUGACUUUGGAUAGCCUGAGUUGUGUUUUGAUUCAGUUAGGUUUGCAUGAUGACGAGUUAUUGAUCUGGUUGUUGUAGUUUGUUGCGGUUCAGGACUAUGAUGAUGGUUUUGGAUAGAUUUUGACAUGAUGAUGGUAUGGGUUAGUGUGGUGUGGUGUAUUGUUGUUUCAUGUGAAAUGCUGAUGAAGAUUACUAUAUGUUAAAUCAUGGUUGGCUUGGUGAAGGUUCCAAGGCAUGGCAAGAGGAUAAAGAAAGACUUAGCAUACACACAUGGUAACUUGUUCAUGAAGAAUUUUGGCCAUGGAAAUCAAAUGGGAGGAUGGAUAUGGUAAUAGACUUCAAGUAGAAAUUAAGGUUAUGUCAUAGGCAUUAGUCUGGUUGACCAAAAAGUCAAUAGUUGACCAAAAGUCAACUUAGGUCAAACAUUAAUUUUUUUUCUUUCUAAUUUUGUUGUAUGG
rnacentral:lncRNA from 1 species